UAGGGAGACCUACUUCGAUAAGUACCAAGAACCAAUGGUUCUGGUCAAAUCAGAAGACAUCCCAAGGUCGUGCGAGAUUGAGUGUAAAAAAGCUUUCAAACUAGAUUUGGUUCGGUAUAUGGGCUAUUAGCUCAGGUGGUUAGAGCGCACCCCUGAUAAGGGUGAGGUCCCUGGUUCGAGUCCAGGAUGGCCCACCUACCGGGACAACUUCAGCACCUAGACUUGUUUUGGCAAAAAACAAGUGAGAAUGCUGGGGUAAGACUCCAGUAAUGAACCUUGAAAACUGCAUAGUAAAGAGAAAGAACAAGCAGGUAGAACAGUUGAGCGAGACUACUCAAGAGUAGUGAAGCACAGCAGUUUAUCGAAGCAGAAAUAGCGCAAUGU
rnacentral:tRNA from 1 species